rnacentral:rRNA from 1 species
GACGAACGCUGGCGGCGUGCCUAAUACAUGCAAGUCGAGCGGACUGAUUAAGAGCUUGCUCUUAUGACGUUAGCGGCGGACGGGUGAGUAACACGUGGGCAACCUGCCCUGUAGAUCGGGAUAACACCGAGAAAUCGGUGCUAAUACCGGGUAAUAUCUGAGAUCACAUGAUCUUAGGUUAAAAGAUGGCUCCGGCUAUCACUACAGGAUGGGCCCGCGGCGCAUUAGCUAGUUGGUAAGGUAAUGGCUUACCAAGGCGACGAUGCGUAGCCGACCUGAGAGGGUGAUCGGCCACACUGGGACUGAGACACGGCCCAGACUCCUACGGGAGGCAGCAGUAGGGAAUCUUCCGCAAUGGACGAAAGUCUGACGGAGCAACGCCGCGUGAGUGAUGAAGGGUUUCGGCUCGUAAAGCUCUGUUGUUAGGGAAGAAACAGUACCGAACGAACUAUGUCGGUACCUUGACGGUACCUAACCAGAAAGCCACGGCUAACUACGUG